CCCCGCCCCAGGGCCCGGCUCCUCGCUCGUGUUCCGGCCCCGAAAACCCCUUCACGCCGCAGUUGUUUCCCGCCUGGUGCUCCUCUGAGUAGAUUUUACCCAAUCUUUCGCUCGUCAUCUUCAGCGAAUAUUGUGAAAGUAAGCGGAGGGGAGAAAGGAUGAGGAAAACAAAAGCACACACCUCCGGAGCACACACCUCCUGAUAUCUCUGGACCCCGCCCCCCGAAGGAAAGAAACCGGGCAGCGGGGACGGUUGACGCUUCAAACGCCAUCUUUUACGUGGGCGGAAGAAGUCGCUGCUUAAUUUCGUUUUCCUCGUGGGACACCGUAGAAAUGUCUUAUGUGCUGCUUUGGAGCGGGAACUGAGGAUUUGUUGAUUACCUCCAAUUUACCAGGAUUACAGCAAAUUAGAUUUAACUGUGACUGGCAUGGGAACUAUCUGAUGUCGACAUGGAUGAGGAAUAUUGCUAUAUAAACCACAAGACUGGACAAAGACUCAUAAGAGUCUGUGGAUCACAAGACCCACCUGUGAAGCAGAGCCUCUCUGGUUUGAUUGCAUUAUGGAAAAGACACAGUUUUACAAGCUGAAACCAAAUCACGAGGAUAGAGAUAGCUUGCAAAAUUGCAGGGAGGGAAAGUGGUGGGGUAGGGAAGGAGACCCUAGAGAGAAUGGGGACAAACAGACGACCUGAAGUAGAGGAUAAGAUGAGGAGGCUUCCAAACUGUGUCAAGGGCACCAAAAUGGGGGGGAAGCAGGAGGGAAUGCAAAUUGUCAACUAUUCCACAAUUUAAUGAACAGUCUACUAAUAUGUGUACUAUUUCUACUCUGUCACCAACUUAAUUCAAGGCCAAGGUCUCAGAGACAGAAUGCUGGAAUAUAAUUCUAGAACUGUGCCAAUAAACAAUAAAUCAAAGUC